rnacentral:lncRNA from 15 species
AGAGAAAUUAUAAAAGAAGUCACCGCGACGUAACGAUAGAAAGCUGGUCGAGAGCCACACGUGAAUACGAAAACCAUGUAAGACACACAUGCGUUUACCUUGAAUACCUGAUGUAACCGGUUCCCUAUGCGGUGUUUUUGUGAGGUGCACUCAAUUUUUUUCUUUUUUUUUUUUUUAGCUGACUACGAAAGAGUCUUGUCAACCAAAGCGUUCAAGAUGGCUUCCACUCGUAUUUGAACCCGCCCCUCCCCUUCUCUGCAACGAAUCAGCUGAUUUCAUUUCAACAGUGUGUCCCUGUCAACACAACGCGUUCAAAACUAUCUUUUAAUUAUCCAUGUAAUGUGUGUAAAUCAAAUGUACAUGCAUCUGCUUUCUAAACACGACUCUGCUGCAGUGCUGUUGAUGAUUAAUGCCACAUUUUAGCUAAUUAAAUAGUACAAACAUAUACGUUUUACAGGCUGUGAUUAUUUCCAGUGGUCACUGCAUCACAGUUAUAUUGUGCAUGUCUUCUUUUUCUUUUUCUACUCAAAUUAAAUCUUAAAACAUGGGGGAGAGAUGGAGGUGAUCCGUCAAACCCAAAGGAAUCUGACCACAGUUGCAGAAGCCCCCACCCCAAAGGGAGAGAUGGAGGUGAUCCGUCAAACCCAAAGGAAUCUGACCACAGUUGCAGAAGCCCCCACCCCAAAGUGAGACAUAUAACAAGAUAUCUUGUGUCUACCCCAGUCACAUUUAUUUUCUAUCAUGAUUUAUUCAUUUAUUUUAAAUAGACAAAUAACAUGACAGUAUUUAGAUUUUCUUACGGUUAAGUAACCUUCACUCUACUGCUCCAAACCAGGGUUAUAAAAAUUAUAUUAAUAAAGAUUUUUUUUAUAUUUACAGCUGGAGAAGUUCUGCGUUAAGACGUGGCGUGUGGAUAAUCAUGGGGGCAUGACUUUUCUAGUUUUAUAAUGGUGCUGCUUUCAAAAGGCGGCCUAGCAGAUUUGAAUAUGUCCCUAUGGAAUUAAUCUGUUUUUAGCCUUUAUUCGACCAGGGGCAAAUCGCUGACAGCAAUGCACUUUCUUUUUCAGGAAUGCCCCGUUCACACUCCUGGAAGCUGCCCAAUAACAACCACAGUCUGAUCUGCUGGCCACAGAGCAGCUCCACUGGAGCAGUCGGGGGUUAAGGGCCUUGCUCAGAGGCUUUCCGCACCUGAAUUUAUCAAGUAAACGGACUAGCUUCAGUGGCAAAUAAGAGACAACUGCCCCCCCAAAUAUCCCCAAGAUACCUCAAUUACAUUAUUAAUAAUGUUAGUUUUACCUCCAUGAUGU